CGGUUAUCGAAGGAGAAAGCCUUAAUUCAUAACG
ncrna:unclassified sequences S4-Flavobacteria ribosomal protein leader